rnacentral:lncRNA from 1 species
CAAGUACUAUGGAAAUAAGUUUCUGUUCAGUAGUUAUGUUAGAAAAUUGUGAAAUAUUGACCAUCAUUAGCAUAGGAGUUAUUGCAAAAUGGUUAAAGAAAAUUAAAAAUUCCUUUCUGUGCCAGGACAAGCAGCCUCCAGCCUCUUGUGCAGCUCAGGCUGUGUCUGCACCAUGAGACCAGGGCCCCAGAACACCUUCCAGUGAGGAAAACAGCUGGCCUAAACCUGGAAUCUGAAAUAUAUUUAGUUGCCCUCAAUCCCAGUCUCUGCCUAUGGAUCUCCUUUUUGAAUCUCUGGAGCUGUUAUUAAAGGAGAAAGCUGGAAACUUGAAAACUGCUGGGCCCAACCAUUUAAUAGGAAAAAAUGCCUUUUCCAGCUGUUGCCUUUGCAUGCAAGACAAAAAGAAAAAACAAAACAAAACACAACCCAACAACCAGCAUGGAAGUAAGCACACAGAAAUGCAUGGUAGCAAGUGGCAGAGAAGAAAGUCCAGUCUGUGGUUCCAGCUGUGGUGUGAUGUGUCAUUCAGAGAAGUCCACAGGAAUGAGGCAGGACAGUAUUCAGGCAUCCCUCUCUUCUUGGAAGUCCAAGGGGAGACAGAGAGUAAGAAAAGGCAGUCUGCAUAUUUGUUUGGAAUGUGAAGCAAAGUCAAAUUCAAGAACACAGCACUGCUGGCAAAAGUAAAACCUAAAAUAAAACUGACACCACAGAUUUGGAGCA